rnacentral:tRNA from 1 species
GGCCUCGUAACUCAGAUGGUAGCGCAUGCACUAUACACAAGUGUAGGUGGUGUCCAUGCGUGGGUUCGAAUCCCACCGAGGUCA